rnacentral:sRNA from 1 species
CAAUGGAGCCUUUCAGGCAUCCUCUCCCAAACUUCAUACCCGGCUGGUUCGCCAGCCGGGUUUUUUCUUGCCUGCA